UUACAGCCACCUGAUCCCUAUUAUGUCAUAAUCUAGUUGCCCUCAAAAUCCAUUUCAAAAUAGCUUGAAACCUCACAAUCAUCAUCAAUAACCCGAAUCCCUUUUCAAACAUCUAUAGAAUUCUCCAAGAAUUUUAUGUUAAUAUUCAUUUUCAACGAUAAAUUCCUCAUUAUUUCCAGAACAAUUCCCUAAUUUCUGCCCUCAACAAUAUUCAAACUCUAAAAAUCUUCACGAUCUUUCAAAAUCAUUUUCUUCAAUCCAUUUACUUACUAUAUAUUUGAGGCUUUCUUUCUUAUAGAUAUGAUAUCAGAUAUCACCAUACUAACAUCUUGUUUUAGGAGUUAUAGUCGUGUUGGGAGAAGAUCUCCACGUUGCUGCACUAUUUCGCCUCGCAGUGGAUACAGCAAAUUGUGAUGGUUGACAUUAUUCACCAUUACUAAUGGCCACGAUAUGCAAAGUUUUUGUGAUGAAGUAUGCAAAAUUCAUAACCAAUGAGACAACCUUGGAUAUGCCAAGAAACUUUGUUUCAAAUAGCAGGAGGACAUACUUUGCUUCUCAACCAUACAAACAUGGCAACCAAAAGCGCAUCAAUCAAUAUGAAACCAUUUAUGAUCUAACGCUGAUGAGUGUGAUGAAGGCGUAGAAGUCCAAGAAUGCCUAUAAGAUAUUUAAAAAAUCACUUCAUUUCGUAAACUUCUAUAGUAUGUAUAUUGUCCAGGUGUUUUCGUCAAACUUAUAGCGCAUGGGUGGUGAUUGCUCGAACAAUUUUUUUUUUUUGGGUGCACUCCUCCACGUGGAAUGGAUGUUCAUGCAGUGUAACUUGAACAACUCGUUAUCAUUAAUCUCAUCUUCACUUACAUUUGUUUUCA